UACGGAGGGGGCUAGCGUUGCUCGGAAUGACUGGGCGUAAAGGGCGCGUAGGCGGACGGCUUUGUCGGGCGUGAAAUUCCAGGGCUUAACCUUGGGGCUGCGUUCGAGACGGGUUGUCUAGAGUUUGGAAGAGGGUCGUGGAAUUCCCAGUGUAGAGGUGAAAUUCGUAGAUAUUGGGAAGAACACCGGUGGCGAAGGCGGCGACCUGGUCCUUGACUGACGCUGAGGCGCGAAAGCGUGGGGAGCAAGCAGG
rnacentral:rRNA from 1 species